UACGGAGGAUGCAAGCGUUAUCCGGAAUGAUUGGGCGUAAAGCGUCCGCAGGUGGCUGUGUAAGUCUGCUGUUAAAGAGUCAUGCUCAACAUGAUAAGAGCAGUGGAAACUACACGGCUAGAGUGCGUUCGGGGCAGAGGGAACUCCUGGUGUAGCGGUGAAAUGCGUAGAGAUCAGGAAGAACACCGGUGGCGAAAGCGCUCUGCUAGGCCGCAACUGACACUGAGGGACGAAAGCUAGGGGAGCGAAUGGG
rnacentral:rRNA from 1 species